UACGUAGGAGGCGAGCGUUGUCCGGAAUCACUGGGCGUAAAGCGCGUGUAGGCGGAUGACUAAGUUUGCUGUGAAAGCGCCUGGCUUAACUGGGCGAGGUCGGCGAAAACUAGUCGUCUGGAGGCCGGUAGAGGGGGGUGGAAUUCCGGGUGUAGUGGUGAAAUGCGUAGAGAUCCGGAGGAACACCCGUGGCGCAGGCGGCCCCCUGGGCCGCGCCUGACGCUGAGACGCGAAAGCGCGGGGAGCGAACGGGAUUAGAUACCCCGGUAGUCCGCGCAGUAAACGAUGUCCACUAGGUGUGGGGGGUAUCGAGCCCCUCCGUGCCGUAGCUAACGCAGUAAGUGGACCGCCUGGGGAGUACGGCCGCAAGGUUAAA
rnacentral:rRNA from 1 species